UUAAACGGCCGCGGUAUACUGACCGUGCAAAGGUAGCGUAAUCACUUGUCUUUUAAAUGGAGACUAGUAUGAAUGGCAUCACGAGAACUAAUCUGUCUCCCUCCCCUAAUCAGUGAAACUGAUCUCCCCGUGCAGAAGCGGGGAUAAUAUCAUAAGACGAGAAGACCCUGUGGAGCUUAAAAUCAAAAAUCAACUGCUUCACCCACCUAUACUAAAGAGACAUUUUCCGCAGGCCUGACUUAGAUUUUCAGCUGGGGCGGCUAUGGAGAAAAAUACAUCCUCCACGAAUAUUUUAUGCUGAAAGCUACCGCGACAGGCAUUAAUAAACUUAACUUUAAUUGACCCAAUUUUUGAUCAACGGACCAAGUUACCCCAGGGAUAACAGCGCAAUCCACUUUCAGAGUCCUUAUCGACAAGUGGGCUUACGACCUCGAUGUUGGAUCAGGGCAUCCUAGUGGUGCAGCCGCUACUAAAGGUUCGUUUGUUCAACGAUUAAAG
rnacentral:rRNA from 1 species